UCGAAUACACACAUACACGGCUAUGUGAAACUACCGGUAUUCAAGUGAAAAAUUCAUCAAAAUAGACAAUGAACCACCUCAAACAGACCUGUUUGGGUUAAUUUAUCAUUGGUCGAGGUUGAGGUCUUGUUCGUCAAGGUCCGUCGGAGCUCUGGUCGAGGUCCCAUCCGGCUAAAGGUUUUGCUUGAAGUCGAAUGUUAAGGCAUAACUAAAAGUAUGCCCCAUAAAGCGGAACUUUUCCUUAAGAUAUAUAUAUGUGUGUGUGUGUCUCAAGGCAAAGUCUGCCCCCUCCGGCAUAACUUUAGUUUUUCCUUAAGGAUUGUAUGCCGGAUCCGGCAUACACUCCCCCCAGCCUUCCUUGCAAAAUUAUUUUUUUAUUUUAUGCCUGAGCGGGGUUCAAACCCAGAAUCUCGAGUAUCCAUGCGAAGGGCAAAAUUUAAAGACCACCCCAAAAGAAGGGCAAUCCGUGCAAAAAAAUGCUUGAGUAAAAGCUUUAACUAUGGCCCAUAACACUCCCCUAGUCCCAAUAAUGUUCAUAUUUAAAGAUUUGCAUCAAAUAGCUGAAUAUUGGAAGUGGAUGGACCAAAUCCUCAUAUGGUAAUUGUCUCAUUGGGCAAAGAGUACCCUCCUUGAGUAAAAGCUUUUACCUUGAGUAAAUUCUUAAGGUAAAUAUAAGAAUUUAUCAAAAUUACUAAGUUGGAUCGAACUCAUAUCUUAAACACUGCCCCUGAAACCUCUUCUUAUAUACGGUCUUUCACUUGAGCAAAUGGCAGGCGAACCAAUAAGAAUUAUAAUGGAAUGAUAAGUAUUCUUUUAUUCUUGGCUUAAGUCAUUCGCGGCAACUAGUGCUUUCUAUAAUUAAAAAAAUGUCAGUCAUUCUCGGAUGCUUUACUAGCAGCCGGAGAGAGAGAGAAAAAUAUAUACGGGGACACUAGCCGUGCAUAUUACACAUAUAUAUUUUAAGAGAAACAUUUCUAUAUUUAAGCAAUUUUAAAGCCUAUAUAUACGUGGCCUUUCAUCAAGCAAGAAAAUGCACUCGCACUCAAUUAAUUAGCUCUUCUUCUCAUCACAAUCAGCAGAGUCCAAACUCAGUGAACAUGGGUAAGGAGUGCCUAUCUCACAAGCUCUCUUUCUUUUUUGGAAUUCUCCUUGUGACACUCACUGUUAAUUCACUUUGGUCCUCAAACACUAAAGCGAUUGCUUUGCGAGACCUACCUUUAGAAGUACAAGUGAUUAAGCAGAUGGUACUUCCGGAACUGAGCUAUACUGUUCAUUGUUUUGCGCAAUGUGAAAAUAAUUGGGAUUGCAAAAAAUUGCUAGACUGAGGGUAUUGUCGAAAGCCGAAUUAUAGGUCACCAAUUAAGAUAUGUUUGACUCCAUGUUGACCCAUUUUAAUAUAUUUCAUAUGAUAAAAUGUGUUUUUAUUAAUCUUUUUAGUUUUACCUACUCCUAAUUCUGAGCUUUGUAUCACUUGUAUGAUCAGAGGCGGGGAUUUAAAUUUAAUGUGUUUUUGAAUUUUAGAGCGAUAAUUUAAAGUGUUAAUAAUUGAGUCCUAAAUUUAAUAUAUUAUGCAUAUUUAAUAAAUUUCUAAAACAUAUAUAUUUGAGUAAAAUUUGCUUAAUUCAGCUGAACUCGCAUCUGAACGUUUAUCGUUGUUUGAGUGUUAAGAUAUACUCCCUCUAUUUCAAUUAAUAGAACUCAUUUGACUGGGUACGACAUUUAAGAAAGAGGGAAGAUUUUUGAAACUUGUAGUUCAAAAUAAGCCUUGAAAAUUCGUGGGGCUGUAAAUCAUUAAUAAAGUGAAUUUAUUUUCAAAUUAGGAAAGAGGUUAUUCAUUUUUACGACUAAAAAGGAAAUAGGUUCAAACAAAUUGAAACAGGGGGAGUAUAACCUAAGUGACUUUCUAUUUUUCUGAAUGAAUAUGUGAUGAUCUAUGUUACUCGAACUUUAUAAAAAUAUCAACAGAUGUGUGUCAAAUCUUCAUUUUUAAAGGAUCCGAUUCGAGUGAGGCAAUAUUUUUAAAGGUCUAAGCAACAUAGGUAGGGGUGUACAUGGAUCGGGUUGGUUCAGAUUUUUUAAAUACCAAACCAAAUCAAUUGCGUCGGGUUUUUAAAUUUAUACACCAAACCAAACCAAUAAAAUUCGGGUUUUUCAACCUCUCUUUUUCUCGGGUUACUCGGUUUUCUCGGGUUUUCAAAUUUCUUUCGGAAUAUUCUUGAUACAAAACAUAUAACUUUUACUUCAAAUAUUUCUUUAGUCUUAUUAAGAUACAACUAUGCAACUAAGGUGUUUAUUAAGAAAAUAACACAAAAUGUGAGAAGAGUGAUGACACUCUAUUACAAUGUUCAAAAAAAACUAAUAAAAUCGACUGAAAUAAAUAUUGCUAAUUAUUCAAGCGAUAAAUAAAAUGAUCAUAAUCUAAAAAUACUAAGUCAUGCCAAAAUAAGUACAGCUAAUAAGUACUACUUACAUGACAAAGAAAAAAAAUCAAGUUAGGUAUUUUUACUCUCUAAAUCAAUUAUGAAAAAAAAUAAAGAAUAGAUAUCCAACAUUACUGUUAUUCCUAGUGCUAAAUUGAAUUUCUUUUGUUAGCAUUAAUGUUGAGUUGGUUUUGGUUUGGACUUUAUUUGAGUUACUAACAUCCAUAGGAUAUAAAACUUAUUGACAUUCAAAAUUCUAAGUUCAAGCUUGAAUAAUAUGAGAAUAGAUAAAAAAAAAUAAGAAAUAUUUAUAAAUUACAUUAAAAAUAAAUCUUUUUAUGCAUAAAAUAUUUUAAAAAUUGAAUACAUGUAAUGUUAGGUUGAUUUGAUUCGAUUUAACUUUUUAUAGUUAAAAUCAAACCAAACCAAACCAAUUAUUGUAACAACCCGAAAAUUUUCAAGUGCUUAGAAUUACUUCCUUAUUUGUAGAGUAUUUAAUCUUAACGAGUUUCAUAUCGGAGCGUGUACUAAUUAUGAGCCUGUUUGGAUGGGCUUAUGCCUAUAAGCUGUUUGCAGCUUAUAAGCUAAAAAAAAUAAGUUGGGGUAGUCUAACUUAUUUUUUUUGGCUUAUAAGCUGUUUUCAGCUUAUAAGCUGCUUUAGAUAAGCUAAGUCAAAUGGGCUCAAUUAUUUUUUUGAGCUUAUUUUAAGCACAAAAUGACUUUAAGCUGGCCAGCCAAACACUCAAAAAAGCUGAAAACAGCUUAUAAGCUAACUUAUAAGCCAAUCCAAACGGGCUCUAUAUCCAUAAAACAUGUAUGUAUAAAUUAGCAGUUUAAUAUUAUUUACAUGAUAUAAUAUUAGUUGGUGAAUUGGUUAAAGAGUAAAUUAGUGGGUCAGGCCCCCUACUUAGCUAUUGGUCAGUUUUUAGAUGAAAGUGGAGAGAUAGAAAAAUCAUUAUUCUAUUUCCAGACUAAAAAGAACAAAAAAAAAAAAAAACCGCAUAGGGCAGUUGGUGCUACUGCGUUCAAGAACCAUUACAGAGAAAGAUUUCUCUCGGUUAAGAAAGACAAAAAAAUUCCAGAUUAAGGCUAUUGGAGAUUGUUGAAGAGAAUUUGGCAUUUCAAGAGAGGUUGCGUUCCGGUUAUAAGG